rnacentral:lncRNA from 1 species
AUUAUGCUAAAUGGUUGUUUAAUUGUUUCGUAAGUCUAGUAAUGCUCCGUAACCCUAUUCCGGUGUUAAAUAUAGGUGAGGGGUGUUACAUUUAUUGGUAUCAAAGCUAAGGUUUAGUCGAUUCUAGGAUUAACGUAUCGUGUGUGUGAGUCUAGCUAUACAUGCCAUAUAUAAACUGUGAUAGUAUGAUGACUCCUAAC